rfam:Lupinus angustifolius cultivar Tanjil contig_42221, whole genome shotgun sequence.
AAACCAUGUGAUGAACUUGGAUUUACAUAAUCUCAUGACGGUCAUCUGAGAUUCACUAUGAUGUUAUAAUCCAAUAUUUCUGAGUGGUU